rnacentral:rRNA from 1 species
AACGGCGUCAUACUGCCCCGUAGCACUUGUUUUAAAGAUAAAAUGCAGCCAUAAUGCGUACUCAUACGCCCACAGAAGCUAAGCAGGGCUGCGCCUGGUCAGUAUCUGGCUGGGAGACCACAUGGGAAAGCUUUGUUGCUGCCAUAA